UGGUUCUGGCAUCGAUGAAGAACGCAGCGAAAUGCGAUAAGUAAUGUGAAUUGCAGAAUUCAGCGAAUCAUCGAAUCUUUGAACGCACAUUGCGCCCGUUAGUAUUCUGACGGGCAUGCCUGUUCGAGCGUCAUUUCAACCCUCAGGCCCUGCCUGGCGAUGGGGACCCGUGCGCUGCGGGCCCUGAAAUGCAGUGGCAGGCUCUGCUACACUCCGAGCGCAGUAAUUCUCUCGCUUAGGGCGUCUAGUGGACUCUCGCCUCCUAUAUUAAUUUCAAGGUUGACCUCGGAUCAGGUAGGAAUACCCGCUGA
rnacentral:misc_RNA from 1 species